CCUACGGGUGGCAGCAGUGAGGAAUAUUGGUCAAUGGACGAGAGUCUGAACCAGCCAAGUAGCGUGAAGGAUGACUGCCCUAUGGGUUGUAAACUUCUUUUAUAUGGGAAUAAAACAGGGUAUGCAUACCCUCUUGUAUGUACCAUAUGAAUAAGGAUCGGCUAACUCCGUGCCAGCAGCCGCGGUAAUACGGAGGAUGCGAGCGUUAUCCGGAUUCAUUGGGUUUAAAGGGUGCGCAGGCGGGCCUUUAAGCCGGCGGUGAAAUCGCGGGGCUCAACCCCGCCGAGCCGUCGGAACUGGGGGCCUUGAGUGCGGCUGAGGCAUGCGGAAUGCGCGGUGUAGCGGUGAAAUGCAUAGAUAUCGCGCAGAACCCCGAUUGCGAAGGCAGCGUGCCGUGCCGCCACUGACGCUGAGGCACGAAAGCGCGGGGAUCGAACAGGAUUAGAUACCCUGGUAGUC
rnacentral:rRNA from 1 species